rnacentral:rRNA from 1 species
UACAGAGGUCUCAAGCGUUGUUCGGAUUCAUUGGGCGUAAAGGGUUCGUAGGCGGCGCGGUAAGUCGGGUGUGAAAUCUCGGGGCUUAACUCCGAAACUGCAUUCGAUACUGCCGUGCUUGAGGACUGGAGAGGAGACUGGAAUUUACGGUGUAGCGGUGAAAUGCGUAGAUAUCGUAAGGAAGACCAGUGGCGAAGGCGGGUCUCUGGACAGUUCCUGACGCUGAGGCACGAAGGCCAGGGGAGCAAACGGG